rnacentral:SRP_RNA from 1 species
UGUGGCCUCGCCAACGCUGGCCCGUCAAUCCCGCCAGGUCCGGAAGGAAGCAACGGUCGCGGAGUACAGCGUGUGGCGGGGUCGUUCUA